GACGAGGGAUCCUAGCGUUGUUCGGAAUCAUUGGGCGUAAAGCGGAUGUAGGUGGCUUUGUAAGUCAGAUGUGAAAGCCCCGGGCUCAACCCGGGAAGUGCAUUUGAUACUGCGAAGCUUGAGUGCUAGAGAGGUUACUAGAAUACCUGGUGUAGUGGUGAAAUACGUAGAUAUCAGGUGGAAUACCGGAGGCGAAGGCGGGUAACCAGCUAGACACUGACACUCAGAUCCGAAAGUGUGGGGAU
rnacentral:rRNA from 1 species